rnacentral:rRNA from 1 species
AUUGAACGCUGGCGGCAGGCCUAACACAUGCAAGUCGAACGAGUGGCGGACGGGUGAGUAACGUCUGGGAAACUGCCCGAUGGAGGGGGAUAACUACUGGAAACGGUAGCUAAUACCGCAUACCAUCGGAUGUGCCCAGAUGGGAUUAGCUAGUAGGUGGGGUAACGGCUCACCUAGGCGACGAUCCCUAGCUGGUCUGAGAGGUGGACCGGCCACUCUGGAACUGGAACACGGUCCAGAUUCUAACGGGGGGCAGCAGUGGGGAAUCGUGCACAAUGGGCGCAAGCCUGAUGCAGCAAUGCCGCGUGGAUGAGAAGGGCCUUCGGGUUGUAAGGUACUUUCAGCGGGGAGGCGUUACCCGCAGAGGAAGCACCGGCUAACUCCGUGCCAGCAGCCGCGGUAAUAC